GGCCAGAUGCCCGAGCGGUUAAGGGGAUAGACUCGAAUCAAUUCGCCAUCUAUUAGGCUUUGCCUGCGCAGGUUCAAGUCCUGCUCUGGUCG
rnacentral:tRNA from 1 species